rnacentral:snRNA from 1 species
AGAUCACUUGAGCCCAGGAGUUUGAGGCUGCAGUGAGCCGUGAUCACACAAUGGCAGUGCAGCCUGGGCAACAGAG